rnacentral:lncRNA from 1 species
GGUGAGGGAAGCUCAUCAGCAGGGCCACAUGCUGAGUGCUUAUCACUUGCUGGCCCCUGGGAAGGUCUGAGACUGGGUCCUCCCUGAGAAAUCUGGCAAGUGAGUUCUCAGGGUGAGCAGAUCUGGCAGGUGAGGCCCUGAGUGGUCAGGCAGAUGCCUCCCUCACAGGAGCUUGGAACAGACUCAGGGCCAGGAUGGGCAGGGCUGGUAUUAGCCUACAGGAGAGGCUCCUGUGGCUCUCACAGAAGACUGAAAUGCACACUCUCUACAGGCAGGCAGAGGUGGGGGAGAUAGGGACGAUUGGGAGUUUACUGCCUGCACACUCUGAAUCUAAAUCCCCCUCC